rnacentral:rRNA from 1 species
UACGUAGGGGGCGAGCGUUGUCCGGAUUUAUUGGGCGUAAAGAGCGUGUAGGCGGCCAGGUAGGUCUGCUGUGAAAACUCGAGGCUCAACCUCGAGACGUCGGCGGAAACCAUCUGGCUAGAGUCCGGAAGAGGAGAGUGGAAUUCCUGGUGUAGCGGUGAAAUGCGCAGAUAUCAGGAGGAACACCGGUGGCGAAGGCGGUUCUCUGGGACGGUACUGACGCUGAGACGCGAAAGCGUGGGGAGCGAACAGG